GCUACUACCGAUUGAAUGGUUUAGUGAGGACUCCUGAUUGGCGCCGCCGCCCCGGCAACGGAGCAGCGGGCUGCCGAAAAGUUGUUCAAACUUGAUCAUUUAGAGGAAGUAAAAGUCGUAACAAGGUUUCCGUAGGUGAACCUGCAGAAGGAUCCA
rnacentral:misc_RNA from 1 species